rnacentral:rRNA from 1 species
GAGUUUGAUCAUGGCUCAGAUUGAACGCUGGCGGCAGGCCUAACACAUGCAAGUCGGGCGGUAGAGAGAAGCUUGCUUCUCUUGAGAGCGGCGGACGGGUGAGUAAUGCCUAGGAAUCUGCCUGGUAGUGGGGGAUAACGCUCGGAAACGGACGCUAAUACCGCAUACGUCCUACGGGAGAAAGCAGGGGACCUUCGGGCCUUGCGCUAUCAGAUGAGCCUAGGUCGGAUUAGCUAGUUGGUGAGGUAAUGGCUCACCAAGGCGACGAUCCGUAACUGGUCUGAGAGGAUGAUCAGUCACACUGGAACUGAGACACGGUCCGGACUCCUACGGGAGGCAGCAGUGGGGAAUAUUGGACAAUGGGCGAAAGCCUGAUCCAGCCAUGCCGCGUGUGUGAAGAAGGUCUUCGGAUUGUAAAGCACUUUAAGUUGGAGGAAGGGCAGUAAAUUAA